rnacentral:misc_RNA from 1 species
GAUGAAGAACGUAGCGAAAUGCGAUAAGUAAUGUGAAUUGCAGAAUUCAGUGAAUCAUCGAAUCUUUGAACGCACAUUGCGCCCGCCAGUAUUCUGGCGGGCAUGCCUGUUCGAGCGUCAUUUCAACCAUCAAGCCCCCGGCUUGUGUUGGGGACCUGCGGCUGCCGCAGGCCCUGAAAACCAGUGGCGGGCUCGCUAGUCACUCCGAGCGUAGUAAUACAUCUCGCUCAGGGCGUGCUGCGGGUUCCGGCCGUUAAAAAGCCUUAUUUACCCAAGGUUGACCUCGGAUCAGGUAGGACGACCCGCUGAACUUAAGCAUAUCAAUAAGCGGAGGA